rnacentral:rRNA from 1 species
AUACGUAGGGGCCUGACGUUGUUCGGAAUCAUUGGGCGUAAAGGGCGCGCAGGCGGCCGUCCAAGUCCGGUGUUAAAUGGUCGGGCUCAACCCGAUCAUGCGCUGGAAACUGGGCGGCUGGAGUCCCGGAGGGGAUGCCGGAAUUCCAGGUGUAGGGGUGAAAUCUGUAGAUAUCUGGAAGAACGCCGAUGGCGAAGGCAGGCAUCUGGCCGGAGACUGACGCUGAGGCGCGAAGGCGCGGGGAGCGAACAGGUUUAGAUACCCUGGUAGUCCGCGCAGUAAACGAUGCGCACCAGGUGUCGGGCGGCAGCGCCCGGUACCGGAGCAAACGCGAUGAGUGCGCCGCCUGGGGAGUAUGCCCGCAAGGGUGAAACUCAAAUGAAUUGACGGGG